GCCUGGGUGGCUCAGUCAGUUGAGCAUCUGACUUCAGCUCCGGUCAUGAUCUCGCAGUUCGUGAGUUCGAGCCCCACCUCAGGCU
rnacentral:tRNA from 1 species